ACCGACGAUGGCGACUACAACAUCAAGAUGCGCAACAUCAAGCGCUUUCUUGAAGAGGGUGACAAAUGCAAGAUCACGCUGCGCUUCCGCGGCCGCGAGAUCACGCACCAGGAGCUCGGUCUGGCCUUGCUGCAGCGCAUUCGCGAUGAGCUGGCCGACCUGAUCGUCGUCGAGCAGUUCCCCAAGCUCGAAGGCCGGCAGAUGAUCAUGAUGAUCGCUCCGGGCCGCAAGAAGCCGGGUGGCGGUGGUGCCGCCAAGCCCGCCGCGUCGACGGAAACGUCGGCACCCGCGGCAGCCUGAAAAGGCUGG
rnacentral:misc_RNA from 1 species